GACGAACGCUGGCGGCGUGCUUAAUACAUGCCAGUCGAACGGACAGGCCCUGCUUUUGUGGGGUGCUCGUGUGGCGCACGGGUGAGUAACACGUGAGUAACCUGCCCUUGACCUUGGGAUAACUUCAGGAGACUGGGGCUAAUACCGGAUAUGAGCUCCUGCUGCAUGGUGGGGGUUGGUAAGUUUCGGCGGUUGGGGAUGGACUCGCGGAUUAUCAGCUUGUUGGUGGGGUAGUGGCUUACCAAGGCUUUGACGGGUAGCCGGCCUGAGAGGGUGACCGGCCACAUUGGGACUGAGAGACGGCCCAGACUCCUACGGGAGGCAGCAGUGGGGAAUAUUGCAGAAUGAGCGGAAGCCCGAGGCAGCAACGCCGCGUGCGGGAUGACGGCCUUCGGGUGGUAAACCGCUUUCGCCUGUGACGAAGCGUGAGUGACGGUAAUGGGUAAAGAAGCACCGGCUAACUACGUG
rnacentral:rRNA from 1 species